rnacentral:rRNA from 1 species
GCAGCGAACGGGUGAGUAACACGUAGAUAAUCUAUCCUAUACUGGGGGAUAGCCCGAUGAAAGUUGGAUUAAUACCGCAUAUAGCUAUAUAGUUGCAUGAUUAUGUAGUGAAAGAUUUAUUGGUAUAGGAGGAGUCUGCGGCACAUUAGCUAGUAGGUGAGGUAAAGGCUUACCUAGGCGACGAUGUGUAGCCGGUCUGAGAGGAUGAACGGCCACAAUGGAACUGAGACACGGUCCAUACUCCUACGGGAGGCAGCAGUGGGGAAUAUUGCACAAUGGGGGAAACCCUGAUGCAGCAACGCCGCGUGAGUGAAGAAGGUUUUCGGAUUGUAAAGCUCUGUUAGCAGGGAAGAGGAAGGACGGUACCUGCAGAGGAAGCCACGGCUAACUACGUGCCAGCAGCCGCGGUAAUACGUAGGUGGCAAGCGUUGUUCGGAAUAACUGGGCGUAAAGGAUGCGUAGGCGGUUAAACAAGUUAUAUGUUAAAUAUAUAGGCUUAACCUGUAGAAAGCAUAUAAAACUGUUUAACUAGAGUGCAGGAGAGGUAAGUGGAAUUCCUAGUGUAGCGGUGAAAUGCGUAGAGAUUAGGAAGAACACCAGUGGCGAAGGCGACUUACUGGACUGUAACUGACGCUGAGGCAUGAGAGCAUGGGGAGCAAACAGGAUUAGAUACCCUGGUAGUCCAUGCUGUAAACGAUGGGUACUAGGUGUGGGUUGUGAAUAACAAUUCGUGCCGUCGCAAACGCAAUAAGUACCCCGCCUGAGGAGUACGAUCGCAAGAUUAAAACUCAAAGGAAUUGACGGGGACCCGCACAAGCAGCGGAGCAUGUGGUUUAAUUCGAAGCAACGCGAAGAACCUUACCUAAACUUGACAUACCUUGAAUUACCUUGUAAUGAGGGAAGCUCGCAAGAGCAAGGAUACAGGUGGUGCAUGGUUGUCGUCAGCUCGUGUCGUGAGAUGUUGGGUUAAGUCCCGCAACGAGCGCAACCCUUGUUGUUAAUUGCUAACAGGUUAAGCUGAGCACUUUAGCGAGACAGCCUAGGUUAACUAGGAGGAAGGUGGGGAUGACGUCAAAUCAUCAUGCCCCUUACGUUUAGGGCUACACACGUGCUACAAUGGUGAGAACAGAGAGAAGCAAGCUAGUGAUAGUGAGCAAAACUUAUAAAACUCAUCUCAGUUCGGAUUGCAGGCUGAAACUCGCCUGUAUGAAGAUGGAGUUGCUAGUAAUCGCGAAUCAGAAUGUCGCGGUGAAUACGUUCCCGGGUCUUGUACACACCGCCCGUCACACCAUGAGAGUUGGCAACACCCGAAACCUGUGGGCUAACCAUAUAGGAGGCAGCAGUCUAAGGUGGGGUCAGUGAUUGGGGUGAAGUCGUAACAAGGUAGCCGUAGGAGAACCUGCGGCUGGAUCACCUCCUUUCUAAGGAAAGAAAGAAGUGGAUAACUUUUUCCUAUUCAAUUGUGAGUGACCUAUAAUUGGAAGGUUACUAAGAGGGACUAUAGCUCAGUUGGUUAGAGUGCACGCCUGAUAAGCGUGAGGUCGAUGGUUCGAGUCCAUUUAGUCCCACCAUUACCGUUUAACAUAGAUCUUUGAAAAAUUGUAUAUAAAUAGUAAAGAUGCGAAAGGUAGCAAGUUAAAUUAUUAGCAAUAGUAAUUUAAGAGCUGGAAGAAUAUAGAAAGAAAAAUAGGUCAAGCUACUAAGAGCGCACAGAGGAUGACUUGGCAUCAGGAGCUGAUGAAGGACGUGAUAAGCUGCGAUAAGCUACGGGUAGACGCAAAUAGUCAUGGAUCCGUAGAUUUCCGAAUGGAGGAACCCACAUAGUGAGAGACUAUGUAUCUAGUAAUGAAUUAAUAGUUAUUAGAAGGUAGACGCAGGGAACUGAAACAUCUAAGUACCUGUAGGAAGAGAAAGAAAUAUCGAUUCCCUAAGUAGUGGCGAGCGAAAGGGGAAGAGCCCAAACCCAAGGAAACUUGGGGGUUGAGGGGGUCUAUAAUUGAGAAAGUAGGUUAGAUGAAUAUAGAUGGAAAUCUAAGCCGAAGAGUGUAAUAGCCACGUAAUUUAAAACUGAAAUUGAGAGAGACUUACCCAGAGUACCACGAGACACGAGGAACCUUGUGGGAAGCAGGGUGGACCACCACCCAAGGCUAAAUACUACCUGAUGACCGAUAGAGGAGUAGUACCGUGAGGGAAAGGUGAAAAAGAACCCCGGGAGGGGAGUGAAAUAGAACCUGAAACUGUGUGCUUACAACCGCUCAGGGCACGUAAUAUGUGUGAUGAGGUGCUUUUUGUAGAACGAGCCAACGAGUUACGAUGUGUAGCGAGAUUAAGGUCUUAAGGACUGUAGUCGAAGAGAAAUCGAGUGUUAAUAGCGCGAAUAGUUGCAUGUUGUAGACCCGAAACCGGGUGACCUAUCCAUGAUCAGGUUGAAGCGAAGGUAAAACUUCGUGGAGGACCGAACCACGUUGGUGUUGAAAAACCAUGGGAUGAAUUGUGGAUAGCGGAGAAAUUCCAAUCGAACUCGGAGAUAGCUGGUUCUCCCCGAAAUAGCUUUAGGGCUAGCGUUAAUACAUAGAAUAUAGGAGGUAGAGCACUAAGUGGGCUAGGGGCCGUAAGGUUACCGAACCUUAUUAAACUCCGAAUGCCUAUAUUUGUUUAUUAGCAGUCAGUCUAAGAGUGAUAAGAUUCUUGGACAAAAGGGAAAAAGCCCAGAUCACCAGCUAAGGUCCCAAAGUAUGAGUUAAGUGGUAAAGGAUGUGGAGAUUCUAAGACAACUAGGAUGUUGGCUUAGAAGCAGCCAUUCAUUUAAAGAGUGCGUAAUAGCUCACUAGUCGAGAGUUUCUGCGCCGAAGAUAAGCGGGGCUAAAACUCAUCACCGAAGCUGUGGAAUGG